CGACACGGUCGCGGUCGCACGUUGUCCGUUCGGGUUUUUAUCGCGGUGUUGCGUCGUUACGGUCGGCGUGCGCGCGGGUUGUUUUUUUUUUUUUUUUUACUAAUUUUUCCGAAAACUAAUUUUGACGGUCCGACGAGGAAAUUACGCGGCCUCCGACAACAACAACAAUUGUCGUUGGGGAACCCGGCGCGGUUUGUUUCGCGGGACGAUGCGUCGGCGACGGCGGAACGCGUCGUGCCGGUGCGCCACGCUGUUGGCCGUGGCGACGGUCCUGCAGCUGUUGUCGUGCGACAGCCGGGCGUCCAACACGUUCACGGACGAGGAGACGAAUUUGUCCAGCGACUGUGAGUGCCUCUAUUGUUAUUAUUAUUGUUAUUCGUUCUAGAUCGGGGGGGG